AUACCUUUCUCGGCCUUUUGGCUAAGAUCAAGUGUAGUAUCUGUUCUUAUCAGUUUAAUAUCUGAUACGUGAGCCAUUGGCUCACAUGAUAUUAAAUUAAUUUUUUUAGGGGAAGGGCUCACCACGGUAGCUUGCUACUGGGGUCCUUGAGCGUCGCCCAUGUGUUGCACUGCUGCACGGGCCUGGCGCACCCCAA